GUGAGUAACACGUGGGUAAUCUGCCCUGCACUCUGGGAUAAGCCCGGGAAACUGGGUCUAAUACCGGAUAUGACCACUUCACGCAUGUGUUGUGGUGGAAAGUUCCGGCGGUGCAGGAUGAACCCGCGGCCUAUCAGCUUGUUGGUGGGGUAAUGGCCUACCAAGGCGACGACGGGUAGCCGGCCUGAGAGGGCGACCGGCCACACUGGGACUGAGACACGGCCCAGACUCCUACGGGAGGCAGCAGUGGGGAAUAUUGCACAAUGGGCGAAAGCCUGAUGCAGCGACGCCGCGUGAGGGAUGACGGCCUUCGGGUUGUAAACCUCUUUCAGCAGGGACGAAGCGCAAGUGACGGUACCUGCAGAAGAAGCACCGGCUAACUACGUGCCAGCAGCCGCGGUAAUACGUAGGGUGCGAGCGUUGUCCGGAAUUAUUGGGCGUAAAGAGCUCGUAGGCGGUUUGUUGCGUCGGCCGUGAAAACCUGGGGCUUAACCCUGGGCCUGCGGUCGAUACGGGCAGACUUGAGUUCGGUAGGGGAGACUGGAAUUCCUGGUGUAGCGGUGAAAUGCGCAGAUAUCAGGAGGAACACCGGUGGCGAAGGCGGGUCUCUGGGCCGAUACUGACGCUGAGGAGCGAAAGCGUGGGGAGCGAACAGGAUUAGAUAC
rnacentral:rRNA from 1 species